rnacentral:rRNA from 1 species
GCUUGUCUCAAAAUUAAGCCAUGCAUGUCUAAGUAUAAGCACUUAUACCGUGAAACUGCGAAUGGCUCAUUAAAUCAGUUAUCGUUUAUUUGAUAGUACCUACCCACUACUUGGAUAUCCGUGGUAAUUCUAGAGCUAAUACAUGCUAAAAGCCCCGACUUCGGGAGGGGUGUAUUUAUUAGAUAAAAAACCAAUGCCCCUCGGGGCUCCUUGGUGAAUCAUGAUAACUUUACGGAUCGCAUGGCCUUGCGCCGGCGACGGUUCAUUCAAAUUUCUGCCCUAUCAACUUUCGAUGGUAAGGUAUUGGCUUACCAUGGUUUCAACGGGUAACGGGGAAUUAGGGUUCGAUUCCGGAGAGGGAGCCUGAGAAACGGCUACCACAUCCAAGGAAGGCAGCAGG